CUGGCACGCUGCCUGUGAGCUCGUUUCUCCUUGCUGAAACAUCACUCAAAGUCUCGGUGACUGAUAGAACUUCUAGACACACUCCUUGCCUCAAGAUAGAGCACUCGUGGUGUAUGCGCGUCUCCUGCGUUACCCUCGCACUGAGCGCAGGAUCCUUGCUCUUGGCAGCAGAGACGCGCCCGCAGUUCGCCUUCACUUCUUUUCCGUGCACCUCGCCUUUGCUGUGUGCGGAUGGAGCACUCAUCGUCAUGCUCUGGCCGUGCUUGUCGCGGCUGCUACGGCGAAAUAGCGGAGAUUGUGACUCUCGUGGAUGGCGUUUACAUGCUACAGACGAAGGGGCAGGGCACAGCACACCAGCUGAACGUCGUCUGGCGUGUUUUAGGUGAGCAGUUGGAGGAAAUGCUCAUCAAGAAGCGGUCCGGAAUUGUGCUUGACUUUCUGCACGCCAGCAUCAAGGUGCAGCGAGUCAUGCUGUUUGAUAAGUCCGUUGCCAUCGAGCUGAAGCCGCAGCUUGUGCUGCUGCCGGACUUCACGUCGAAGUUUCACCUCAAAAAUGUGCUGGAGAUGCACGAUGCGCACUACCACGCAACCGUUGCCAGCACGGUCAGCUAUAUCACCAUCGCCUCCAUCGUUGGUACAGACCGCUUCGUUGUCGAGGCGGCUGUGAAGGACUCGGUGCGCGAGAUCGGCAAGUACCUGCAGCGCAACGCCGCCUCGACGCUCACCAUCGACAUUGGCGUAGGCUUCUUGGAGUUCCAAGACAGAACGUACCGCAUGAAGUGGAGCCGAGAGUUCCUCGCUCGGAUGAGGGCAUCCGUUGGCGCGGCCGAGGUGGUGACGCCCUACGACCCGCCGUCGAGGACGAUUGGCGGCCCUGCGGCGCCGUGCCGCUUUCAGAAGGGAUGCACCUCUGAGAACCUGCUGCAGACCCAGGUUCGUGAGACCGUGCUAGCUGAGUCACGCUUAAGUGCUGCGGAGUUGAACGAUGGCAUGGGCAGCUCCUCGUAUCGCAGAACUCACUGGUAGGCAGCGGUUCGGGGGAAGGUGCUUGCCUGCCACGUCUUGCCUCCAUAGCUUUCCUUCGACUUUGUCGCGCUCGUUGAUGGUGGCACUUGUCCGUGUCAGAGAGCAGGCGAAUGCCACCCCACGAAUUCAGCAAGUAUGUGCGGAGGCUCCGUCGCACUCAGGAUUUGCCCCCUCCCCCACCCCCAACCCACCCACCCACACACACACACGCACACACAUCGCAUCUCCUCCUCUUCAUCCUCCAAUCCUGCGCUUCUCAUGCGCCUCUGUCUGUGCCUGUGUGCUGAGGUGCUUAGCCAUCCUUUGUAUAUAUAUAUACGUGUUUUUCCUUGCUUUUGGCAUCUAUGUGAGUUGUAUGCACAGACGCCGUAUGUAAACCAGACUGAUGUGCUGGCGAGGUGAGUUGGCGGACAUUUCGUCGCCACCACCCCGUACUUUCGCACUUUUUUUUUCGUUUCUCAACUCCGCAUCAUCGAUCUCUUCAACGUGCGGCUUUGCAAGGUGCGCACGCGCUGCAGGGACUGAACGGCAUCGUGCAUCAGCCGUGGAUCAUCUCGCUUCAGUGCACGCCUCCAGUCAUAACGCGAACUGCUGGUUGCCGUUUGUGCUGAGGUCCCUGCGUGUCUUGCCAGACUCACCAUGACCGUUUUUUGUGAGGUGUCGUACAUGUCCACCAGAUGUUUUUCAGAGCGUACUUCGCUCACCCUAGGGGGGCGCCUUCUCUGGCAAUCCUCUAAGUACUGCCUUUAGUGGGUGUGUCACGUCAUCUCUCUCGUUCUCUUUCUGUCGUUUCUCUUUUAUUGGCUGCUGUUCUUGUUGUGCUGCUCUCUACGCGUGCGUGCUCCUCUCUCUCGAUGUGCCACACUGCGACUCAUUCGGGUGUGCGCACUUCAUAUCCAUUGCUGUCUGCCGCCCGCGCACGUGCCUGCGCGUCAACCCCACAUACACCCGCGCACUCACACGUUACUGUCGUGGUGUGCGUGUGUGUGUGUGUAUUGUGCCCUGUGCACCGGGAGAUCACGGUAG
rnacentral:misc_RNA from 1 species